rnacentral:rRNA from 1 species
AACCUUUACACUGCACGGCAGUGCGAUAGGGGGACUCCGAGUGUGAGGGCAUAUAGCCCUCGCUUUUCUGUACCGUAAGGUGGUACAGGAACAAGGACUGGGCAAGACCGGUGCCAGCCGCCGCGGUAAUACCGGCAGUCCGAGUGAUGGCCGAUAUUAUUGGGCCUAAAGCGUCCGUAGCUUGCUGUGUAAGUCCAUUGGGAAAUCGACCAGCUCAACUGGUCGGCGUCCGGUGGAAACUACACAGCUUGGGGCCGAGAGACUCAACGGGUACGUCCGGGGUAGGAGUGAAAUCCUGUAAUCCUGGACGGACCACCAAUGGGGAAACCACGUUGAGAGACCGGACCCGACAGUGAGGGACGAAAGCCAGGGUCUCGAACCGGAUUAGAUACCCGGGUAGUCCUGGCUGUAAACAAUGCUCGCUAGGUAUGUCACGCGCCAUGAGCACGUGAUGUGCCGUAGUGAAGACGAUAAGCGAGCCGCCUGGGAAGUACGUCCGCAAGGAUGAAACUUAA